rnacentral:rRNA from 1 species
GACGAACGCUGGCGGCGUGGAUUAGGCAUGCAAGUCGAACGGUAUCAUCCUUUCGGGGGUGAGAGAGUGGCGAAACUGGUGAGUAACACGUAGGUUAUCUACCCUCAAGACGGGGACAACCCAGGGAAACUUGGGCUAAUACCGGAUGUGAGCAACUUUUAGUUGUUUGAAAGGUGGCGUAAGCUGUCGCUUGGGGAUGAGCCCUGCGUCCUAUUAGUUAGUUCGGUGAGGUAACGGCUUCACCUAGGCAAUGAUAGGUAGGCGGCCUUAACGGGUGGUCGCCCACACUGGGAUUGAGAUACGGCCCAGACUCCUACGGGAGGCAGCAGUCGAGAAUAGGUCUACAAUGGUCGGAAGACUGAUAGUGCGACGCCGCGUGAACGAUGAAUCCCUUCGGGGUGUAAAGUUCUUUUAUAUGUGAGCAGUGCUUCUUAUAUUAACAGUAUGGGGAGAGAGAUAUUAGCAUUAUGUAAUAAGCAAACGGCUAACUCCGUGCCAGCAGCCCGCGGUAAACUCGGUA